GUUAAAUGUUUGUUGUGCGCUCCCAAGGGAAGCUCCGCCUACAUACCGGAAGUGGUACUGAUUGAACUUCCUGUGCUCGGCAACAUCUGUGAAAGUUAUCAACUUAAAGGGAAGCUCCGCCUACAUACCGGAAGUGGUACUGAUUGAACUUCCUGUGCUCGGCAACAUCUGUGAAAGUUAUCAACUUAAAGCAUUCCCUAACGUGUCUGCUCGUCGCCAUGGAAACGCUCCUGCAGGUCCAAGUCCCGCCUGCACACCUUUCUGCGUUUGUCGGAGCGUGGCCUUUACAUGAAGGCGGACGCUCGGGGCUUGAAUCUUUGGCCACCUAGUGAUUCCAUUCCCAUUCCUGGGGGCGAUGAUUCCAUUCAGAAUCGAUUCA